rnacentral:lncRNA from 1 species
GGCUCGGCCAGGCCGGGCCCGCGGCUCCUAGCACCGAGCGGGCGGCGGCCGCGGCACUUCCGGGUUAGCCGUCUCCAUGUUGGUCUCGGCAACGCGAGGGGCGGGGCCGGGCGGGGUCAGGGGUCAGCGCCUCCCUCGUUGCUGUGGCGACCGGGGGCGCGCGUCUCUGGACGCAGGCCGCCUGGGUUCUUGGUGUUGCACAAUCCUGGCCGGGUGUUGGGUUCUGGGGUCUCAGUGCCCUGCAAUGGCAGACAGUACGGUUCUGGGGAGAGGACCCAGCAAGAGAAAAUUGACACCAACAGUUGAAGAUUUGGAAGAAAUUAUACGUAAGUACAUGUGGUUUUGAAAAGCCUUAAACUUUUCACUUGUGGUGAUAAAUGUAACCU